rnacentral:pre_miRNA from 14 species
CUCCGGUGCCUACUGAGCUGAUAUCAGUUCUGAUUUUACACACUGGCUCAGUUCAGCAUUAGCCCUAGAG